rfam:Anopheles farauti strain FAR1 unplaced genomic scaffold supercont2.3, whole genome shotgun sequence.
UUCUGAACGGGGGACGUUGUGCGCUCUAUGUACUAUAAAUAACCAUAAGCGUAUAGCUUUUCCCAUUCAGCG